GAGUUUGAUCUUGGCUCAGAUUGAACGCUGGCGGCAUGCCUUACACAUGCAAGUCGAACGGUAACAGGUCUUCGGAUGCUGACGAGUGGCGAACGGGUGAGUAAUACAUCGGAACGUGCCCAGACGGUGGGGGAUAACGAGGCGAAAGCUUUGCUAAUACCGCAUACGAUCUAAGGGAUGAAAGCAGGGGACCGCAAGGCCUUGCGCGUUUGGAGCGGCCGAUGGCAGAUUAGGUAGUUGGUGGGAUAAAAGCUUACCAAGCCGACGAUCUG
rnacentral:rRNA from 1 species